UCCCUGAUAGUCUAGUGGUAGGACUCAAGCACUUUUACUGCCGGUGCCUGGGUUCAAUCCCUGGUAGGGGAA
rnacentral:tRNA from 1 species